ensembl:lncRNA
CAUUUGAUUCAGCCUCGGAAAUCUUCAAUAAUUCUUUAACGAUUUAGCACAAUGACAUAAUAAGCAAAACUAUAUAAUCUUGUAGACAACUCUCAAUUUUAAUUUAAGGUGUGUAGUUGCAGUGUUUACAUCACAGAUGACAGCAACAUCGCUAUCUUCGCUGGAGAGAGUGGGUCUCGAUCUUGCUGCAAGAGGACACUACGAAGUUGACGGAGAUUCUGCCGAGGUGCAGUCACCGGACUCAAGUGUUCGAUCCACUGCUGGAUCCGGGUCUGUGUGCUUUGCAUUUCAGCGACCCAGUGUGUGGCCCCGGGCCAGUGUGUCAAAACCUUUUCAACGGUGAGUUCAACAAACGUUUCGCCCAUGGGAACAAUAGUAUUAUAUGACAGUUUUGGUGGAUGCUUUUGAGUUUUAACGAAAAAUUGAAGAUCUUAGCAAAUGGCAUAUGUUAUCAGUUCACUGUCAGUUCUCUAAUAAUAGCAAGGUUUAUUUUAACAACUUGUAUGUCUGCCUGAGUGAUUGAAGCCAGAGAUAUACUGUGACUACACUGAAUGUUGGCAUUGCACUCUCCCUAGAUCUGGGUUAUAGGAAGAUGGGGUGGUCUUUGGAUAUUUAACUAAACAUAUUUUCAUUUCAAGGAAUGUUUUUCUUGCUGAUCUGUGAAGACCCCAGAAGACUGUAGCGAUCCGUUUUCAUGAACAUGAGGCAUCAGUUCCUGCUAUCUUGGCAAAAGUCCAAGAUGCUAUUGGAUCAGAAGAUGGUAUGAUACUGACUGAUGGCCAGGGGAAUGAAAUUCUCCAUACAGAGGGAACAAAAGAUAACUGCAAAAGAUGAGAUUGACUACAAGCUGUUUUAAAAAAUCUAAGAAAAACACAAUGAAAACAACAGUAAGGUCAGAGAAAUGUAAUACCAGUUGAUAAAAAAAAAGUUCUAUACACCUAAACAAUAUAAAUAUGAUUUUAAAAAUUUGUGAAAUAAAGGGUUUAAUUCACAUAAAAAUAUGAUACA